UUUAAGUGCAACUAUAAGUUUUCGCACCUAACUUCGGUAGUCCGUCUUAUUUAAAUUUUUUUUAUAAUUAAUAUUUUUAUUGUUAUGCGAUAAUAAAACACGAAUAGUAUUUUACUCAUGACUUAUGUUUUUAAACUUUUACAAAAAAUUUUGAAAUAAGACGGACGGUUAAAGUUGGACGUGGAAAAAUUAUGGUUGCGUUUGAA
rfam:Oryza meridionalis cultivar OR44 (W2112) chromosome 9, whole genome shotgun sequence.